AGAUUGAACGCUAGCGGCAUGCCUAACACAUGCAAGUCGAACGGUAACAGGCCCUUCGGGGUGCUGACGAGUGGCGGACGGGUGAGUAAUGCGUAGGAAUCUGCCCUGAUGUGGGGGAUAACGUAGGGAAACUUACGCUAAUACCGCAUACGACCGAGAGGUGAAAGCGGGGGACCGAAAGGCCUCGCGCUGAAGGAGCGGCCGAUGUCCGAUUAGCUAGUUGGUGGGGUAACGGCCUACCAAGGCGACGAUCGGUAGCUGGUCUGAGAGGAUGAUCAGCCACACUGGGACUGAGACACGGCCCAGACUCCUACGGGAGGCAGC
rnacentral:rRNA from 1 species